UAUUAUUGCUCCAGAUUGCCCAAAG
rnacentral:misc_RNA from 1 species